GUUAACUUAAAAGCAAAUAGUCAUGUCUGCUCUAAGUCAGUCUGUAACAAGUGGGUACCAGAAAUGACAUUAAAGUGCUUGCAUUGUGUUUCAUCUUGGUUUUAUCUGUGUGUGAAAUACACUUUUUCUCAAAAGCUUAUCUGAAGCUCAGAAGUGUGGUGUCAGAAUACAUCUGCGUACUGCUAGGCCCUCAGAUCCAGAUACUGGUGCUGUCAGGAGAGAGCACAGCACAGCGUGUAUGGGGGCUUCACUGUAACAUUAAGCAUACAAAGUGUUGAUUUGCUUGCAGUUUUCCCCCAUAGCUAAACACUGAGGCCUGUGAGUAGUUUUAGGACUCGAGCAGUAAUGGGGUUGCAUGUCUCUGUUAAUCAUUGCCAGCUGCAGUGACAUGACCAGGAAGGCCAGUGUUUCAUUCCAUUCUGUUCAAUGAGGCUAAGCCUGUUGGAAAGGAUGCAUAAAAAGUAUGCUGUCGUGGGUAAUUCCUUGGCUUCUUCCACUACUAGCAAGUUUGGAAUCAACUAAUUAGCUUCAGAUUUUUUUUUCCUCUCCAUACCAGCUAGUGGGGCUGUUAAAUAGCUGCUUACUGGAAAAGGCAAAAAAGGGAGGAUUGGCCUUCUCCCACCUCUGUCAUUGCUGCUAGAUAAUGAUUGACACGUUAGGACUUGGCUGUGCAAUCCCGCAGUGGUCUGUGAAUACCCCAUCUCUAUAAAUGUUGCUUCUGAACACCAGUACUGAAGAGCUAACUGGGGAGGGUGGGGAGGAGCGUGGCUAGAAGUGAAUCUGGAGUGUUAAAAGGAUGCACAAAGAUAUAGUAUCCCUUAUGCAUGGUGUUUGUUGCUAUGGCAUAGAAAACAAAAUGUGCAUACUCUACCUCUGCUCCUGAGGGCCAUGAUAAAACCCAGGUGGUGGGUUUGAGACUAAACUUCUCCCUGCCUGGUCGGAUCACAUUGUGACCAUGGUGUGAUCUGCCUCCCAGCUAGAGGUGUGUACUGCAUCCCUUGGCUGCUCAGCAUUGCAGUUUGCCCUCAGCUCCAGUAAAAGGCUGGGUCUUGAGAAGGGAGGAAUCUGUUGCCGAGGUCCAAAGCAGUAGUCUCACAAUGCUAACCUCUAGUGUCUUCUUUUAGCUUUUGAAGCACUUCUAGGACUAUUGAACCUGAGGGCUGCCAGGAGUCCAGGGACAUUGCCCUCCUUCAUGAAGGGGAAGAAAGAGGGUGUUACUAAGGAGACAAACUAGGGUAAAAGAGUUGAAGUAGCUUGACAAAAUUGUGAAUGCCUUCACAUAAGGGAUAGUAUACCUCUGGCUGCCAUCAAACUUCUUGUACUCAGACUGGUGAUUUACGGUUUGUGCUCAGACAAGGUGCAGUUCUUGAGUCAACUACCUGCAUAUUCCUUCAUCUCUUCACAAGUGGUUAGGUUAGCCUGUUUCUGCCCCUUAUUCUUCCACUUAAUAUCUCGGAAUAAUUUAUAAAUCCCCCCUCAUAACUAAUGAGUCCAUGUAUUUGAAAACCUUAUUUUUAAGUUAGUAUUGAAAUGGUCAGAAUUUUCUGUGUGUUACUAUAGUAACUUUGGUUGUUAUCCUUUAGGUGAAGAUGAAGGCUGAGUGAAAGCGGUGUGCUCAUCCCUGGGAAGUAAGCAUAACUUCUGGUCUUGUUCUGAGCGGGUGAAGUAACGAAGGCUUCUGGGCAUUGACCUUCACCUUUGAAUCGUUCAGGAGCCGAGCAUGAGCACAUCCAGCACGGUGCCCAGUGGUACGAGGAGGGACCAGGAGAGCAAGAGAAAUGGAGAUGAAGUCUGAACGCAGGGAAGAGGAGCCAGGAACACACAACUUUCAAAAAUAAAACAUUUAAUAUUUUU
rnacentral:lncRNA from 1 species